UCGGGGUGGGAUGGUUUGAUGAAUGAAUGAUGUUUCAGAACUUGGUGAUUCAUGGUCAGAGAUGGAUUAUAGAAUGAAGAAGAAGACUCGAAACUGCUUAAGGUUUGUUUGAUGAUGAUCCGAACAACAACAUCAAUGGAUCGUUGAUGAAUUAGCAAGAUAUGGUGCAAGUGAUGAUCGGAGGAGGAGGAGCAGGCUGUUUCUUUCCAUGGAGAUCAUAUGCGGGGAUAGCUGGUGAUGUGCGAUUUGCUGAGGUCACUCGAGGCAGUGGUGCGUCUUCUUCCUUGUCCACGUCAAAUUCUCCCCAUCCAUAUAAGUUGUGAUGCAUUCAUACACAACGAUGGUCCAAUUCUAUUCUGGACAUUGGAUUGGGGUUUGUUUCAGGAGUCUAGAUACGAUGACGACGACGGUAUCUAUGAUAUUGUUAAUCUUCUGGAGAGUAUUGCAGAUGAUCGGAGGUGGACAUUGUUUGUUUCCAUGGCGUUUCUUCUAAUUUGGCCGAGCAAGUAGAGAUCGCGGAGAUGCUUUCAAGAAUCAAAACUGAUUCUAUUGGAUUGAUGGUGUUUGACCAAGUACAGGUUUAAGAACCACCCAUGGCCUAACGUUGCUGCUCAUAGCGGAGUGAUGCUGAACUAUUAUCAUUCUACCGAAAGCAAGAUAUCUAUACUACACUGUACUUUUUGGCUGUCUCAAGGAGUCUCGUCAUCUGCUCACAGCUGAUAUAGAACCGGGCUCUUAGACUGCCACUAGAGCGGCAAAAGAGUGAAACUUUGCAACUUCGUGGGGCUCUUAAGCUCCUCUCAAUCUUGUUCUUUAGGAUUAUCCGGCCUUUGGCAACUUCUCUCGUCCACGCCUGGGGUGGUGGUUAUGCAGCUUUUGCUUUUUCAGGCUGCUUUAUGAAGUGUUUGGUGCCUCCUAUUCUAACUGAGCUGGGCAAGGACGCAAGGUACUAUUUACAUUAUCAUUCAUGUGUUACCAGAUUUCUGUUUUCUUUCGUUUAUUCCUUGUUACAGGUCAAGAACCACCUGUGGCCCAACGUUGAUGCUCAUGGCGAAAGCAAGGGAAAAUCUUGCAUGCUUAUUACUGGAGAUGUUUAGGAUAACCUGCAGAUUUAGCUAAAACAAGAUCUAAAAGAAGCUAAAAAGAGUUGUGUCUAUGAAGUUAUCAUGGAUAAUGCAGGGAGGCUUCAGAUAAAGGCGUGAUGGACGAAUUAAAAGACGUGAAGAAAUUUUUAAAUCCCACAGAAGUGUUACCAGUUGUUGAUGCCAUAAUUGGAAAAGAAGCUGGGAGCUCUGGUGACACCAUCCAAUGUAGAGAGAGGAAUCACAGGAGCCAUUUUGACAAAGCUAGAUGGUGAUUCAAGAGGUGGUGCUGCUUUGAGUGUCAAGGAGGUAUCAGGAAAACCAAUUAAACUGGUAGGACGUGGAGAGCGAAUGAAGGAUCUUGGACCCUUUUAUCCAGAUCGAAUGGGAGAUGUGCUUUCAUUUUUAUAGAAGGCAACACCAGUUAUACUGAAGAUCUACAGAAGAAGAAGAUAAUGAGUUCUGACAUCAACGAUUUCCUAAAGCAGACACGUGCUGGUGCAUGCGAAAAUGGGUUCGAUGACAUGACUUCUUGGAAAUUGGAAUGAGACCCGGAAUGGGGAAAAUAAGUCCAGCACAAAUCCGAGAAGCGGAAAAGAAUAUAGUCAUGGAAGCAAUGAUUGAAAUGAUGACACCAGGGGAAUGGGAGAACCCAGAGUUACUAGGAGAAUCACCAGAGAGAAGCAAAAACAAUUUGCUAAGGAUUCAGGAAAGACAGAACAUCAGGUACUCUCAAUUUGAUUUAUUUUCUGCUGCUGGGAUAUCAAAAGCGUAUGUUUCACUGGGCCUUUGUUUUGCUGAAUCUUGGUUAUAGUUAAUAGAGUCACCUUUCUUUCAAAUAUAGUUGGUAAUUAGUCUAACUAUUUUCUUCUACUUUCUAGAAUAUUUCAUAAUAGCUGAGCAUGAUCUGAAAAAAAUGGAUGUAACUGCGCUACAUUAUUUUGUCUCUGAGGUCAUCUCUCGCCAGCUACUAUAAAUCUAGGUAGAUUUUUUGAGUUUUGUUUAAAUUUCCAUUCAUGCUCCUUCGUCUUUUAUAUAAGCUGACGUCGGGAAAA